rnacentral:rRNA from 1 species
ACCGCUCUCUACGAUACUAGUAACUACGAGGCNCUGUGAGCUAGUCGUCGAUGCAAGAUGAGUGUUAUGCAUGCGACUGGUGCAACGGUUUUGAUGUCUUGUCAAGUAGUGUAUGUCACACGGUAUGUGAUCGACGUGUCGAUCUGGUAGUGCAGCGAGUAGUCAGUGAAUUUGUAGAGACUGCCUUUGAUACUAUCAGUCUUGAGUCCGGUAGAGAUCUGUGGAAUUCCGAGUGUAGCAGUGAAAUGUGUAGAUAUUCGGAAGAACACCAGUGGCGAAGGCAGCAGAUUGGGCCGGUACUGACGCUCAUGCACGAAAGCGUGGGGAUCAAACAGGAUUAGAUACCCUGGUAGUCCACGCCCUAAACGAUGUACACUUGAUGUCGGCCUGUAAGGGUCGGUGUCGGAGCUAACGCGUUAAGUGUACCACCUGGGGAGUACGCUCGCAAGGGUGAAACUCACAGGAAUUGACGGGGGCCCGCACAAGCAGUGGAGCAUGUGGUUUAAUUCGAUGCAACGCGAAGAACCUUACCUAGGCUUGAAAAGUAUUCUAAACCUGUGAAAGCAGGGUACCCGCAAGGGGGGAUAUACAGGUGCUGCAUGGCUGUCGUCAGCCCGUGCCGUGAGGUGUUUGGUUAAGUCCCGCAACGAGC